rnacentral:lncRNA from 1 species
CGUUUUUUAGAUAAUGGUACUUGUACUCACAAUGCAAUUAUGAAUACCACGUGAUAUCUCAUCGCAAAUCCUCACAGCAGGUCGUUUUACAAAUGAGCCUCAUUUUGGAUGAUGGCAGUGGCCUAUAGUAAAUAAUAUAAGAAAAAAGAUUGCAAAAAUAAUAAAAACACUAAAUUAAAGAAUGGCUUCAUGUAUACACCUUGGUUCUUACUAUGACGACUUUGAAAUAAAUGGCAGAUGAAUCAAGAGAACGUUAGAAAUGUUAGUACGUAUCCAUGGUUUUAUAACAAACAUGUAGCUAUUCAAUUUGCAGAUUGAAGACCUCUCCAUUUCAAGGAAGAAAAGAAUUUCUGUUGGAAUUGAAAGUUUUUAUAGUUCGAAUACCGCAGUGUUAUUCUGAAAUAUUGGAGCCAAUGAUAGUUUUAUAACGAAUAUUUAUUACAAAGCGUUACAGCUGAAACUAUAACAACUCAUUUUGAAUGGAGAAAUCAAAAAAUAAUUUAAUUGGUUUUAUAUACCAAAAUAUGCAACAAGUUUUUAUGAAUGCACUUAAGGACGAAUCCCAUAAAAAAGAACUUGAUGACGUUUAUAAAACAUCUUAAAAGUUUGAACUGAUUGCUUUAUUUCAAAAAGAACCUAAGUGCUGAUGAAAAACUUUAUACCUCACGUGGUUAUUUUGGCUUCUCAGUUUAUGCCUGAAAACUAAAGUC